AUGACAAGCAUCCCUGAGAUCUACUCCCUCCCUGACACCUUCUCCAACCUUGGGGGAAGCUGUUCCGACCAGGAGUUGAUAUCUUCUCUCAGAGAAUACCGUAUAUUGGAGCCCACACCUUACUUCGAGCCCCACCGCAAAAUCAACCAUGCAGCAGCCCGACUCAAAAACUUGCCGUGGAAAUUUAUUCGCCUUAAGUUGGAGGCCAUGGAAGGCUGGACGACUGAUGAAGGGACUUGGUCGCAGAAAAAAUUGGUCUCCAUCCCUAACACCUCCCAAGGCAAUUCCCCCAACUCCGCUAAAUUCGUGGGGACCAAGACGACGCUCGAGUUCAAACCUACGGGUGCUAAAAGGGGGGUUGUUGGCAUGACGCAGUACCACCUACUUAGGACUAUGAAAGAUCGCCCUGGAUUGUAUUUGGAUGAGGAUCUGGCUUUAUGUCACGUCUUCCCGCUGGAAGGGAAAGCCAAGGGCGCCCGGAACCGGAAUGGCAAAAGAUCACGAUCAGGAUAUGAAGUGGAUCCACACGAACCCAUUACCCAUGCCGGCGUGGAAGAAUUGGACCAAAUGAUGUCCAAUUCCAAAAAGUAUCCAGUUCUAGACGUGGGGAUGGAUGUUCAGGAUCUGCUCUUCGCUGAUCAACCGUCAAAACAUUGGCAAAGCUUCACCAAGAUACACACCAAAAAUCCCAAACUUAUGUACGCAGCGUGCAACCACUGCGACACGGUGUUGAAGUUAACAGGUGGUACCAAAUGUGGCACAGGCUCCCUCAGGCAUCAUAGUGACUCCUGCCGAUGCAAACCCAAGCAGGAGCAGCUGCCCGGCAACUCUUCACCGAUGCCUAUUCAGUCGAUUGCAUUGCAGGCCAUCACGGAAUAA
rnacentral:rRNA from 1 species